CAUCUAUCGCCUAAGUGAUGUGACUCUUUUUCUGCCUGCAGCCUGCACAUAGAGAAGAUUGUGACAUAUAGCUCUGCCCAGUAACCAGGAGACAUGCCCAAAAAAGGGAUUGUGGCAUAUCUCUGAGCCCAGCACCCAAAUGUUGUGACUCUCCUGCCUGAGCUGUGCCUAGAGAAAAUAUUAUAAUAUGUCACCGGACCCUGCAUGCAAGUGAUCCAAUUCUCCAGUCUGGGCCUUGCCCAUAGAGGAGAUUGAGACAUAUUCCAGGUGAAGAAUUCAGGUCAUGCAAAUGGAGGCGGAUUUUGACAUAUCAUAAAGCCAACAUAAUACACAGUCUGCAGGUGGAAUUGGGACUCUCAUGCAUGGAUCCAGUUCAUCAUUGAUACUGUGACUCAUGUACUUGGAUGCAACUCACAGGAGGUGUUGACGCUUUUUACCUGAAGCUGGGACAUGUGUGGAAUUGUGAAUCCUAGCCCUAGAUCUUCCCACAGGUCAUGCAAAUGGAGGGGGAUUGUUACAUAUCAUAGGGCCAACACAAAAAUAAUGUAAAACUCCUGCCUGAGCCAUGCCCAUAGAAGGCAUUGUGACAUAUCACCCGUCACAGCACUCAGGUGGGAUUUUGACAUAUAACUGCACCCAGCACACAGGUGAAGUAUCUCGUAUGCUCAUCCUGCCAAAAGUUAUGAGUGUCACCCUCACACAUGGACAGAGACCUCUGGUUA
rnacentral:lncRNA from 1 species